rnacentral:rRNA from 1 species
GUGCCAGCCGCCGCGGUAAUACCGGCAGCUCGAGUGAUGGCCGAUUUUAUUGGGCCUAAAGCGUCCGUAGCUGGCCGCACAAGUCCGUCGGGAAAUCCGCCCGCUCAACGGGUGGGCGUCCGGUAGAAACUGGCCGGCUUGGAACCGGAAGGCUCAGAGAGUACGUCCGGGGUAGGAGUGAAAUCCCGUAAUCCCGGACGGACUACCGAUGGCGAAAGCACUUCGAGAAAACGGAUCCGACAGUGAGGGACGAAAGCCAGGGUCUCCAACCGGAUUAGAAACCCUGGGUCC